GCGGAUGUGGCGAAAUUGGUAGACGCACCAGAUUUAGGUUCUGGCGGUAAAACCUUGGGGGUUCAAAUCCCUCCAUCCGCACCA
rnacentral:tRNA from 1 species